UUUCUAGACUGUAAAUUCAAAUAUGUAAAAGAUAAAACAUUCCUUAUCAUAAAAUCUUUCUUCCUUUGAAGACUUCUGUUAAAAUCCGACAACUCCACAACGUCUACCCUAAUUACUGAUGUAAAAUGUAACCAGAAAGAAUGUCUGGGCUUUGGCUUGACUGUGAAAGACUUCAAUAAAGAUGUCAAAAUGCUGUAGGUUUCUGAGUUGAAGAACUGCCUUUCACAUAAAUUUAAAGAUUUCAGAUUUCUUUUGCUAUGUUUCUUAACCUACCCUGUUAUUACAAUAUGUUAUCUCUCUCUCCCAGAAGAAGCCAGGACUUAAAGAAGACAAGGAAAUAGGAUAUAGCCAAUGUUUAUUCAUCCAUCUCAAAAGCCUGCAUGAGUUGCAGAGGGGACAAAUUAUUAUUUGGCAUUUUCUUUAUGCUGUAAACAGACAUAUCAAGGCUUGGCUUUGAUUCAGAAGCAAUUCCCUCCCUUGAAUCCUGUAGAAGAACAACAUAAUGUGAGAUUGAAAAAAGAAGGAAUUUCUGGAGAUGGUGGGCAUGACUAACUCUGAAGGGCUGGUUCCGCACUGGGGCUGCCCUGGCCUAGAGGUGCAGCUGCACGAUAUUGAUGUAGCAUCUUCUCAUUUUCAGCACAAAGCUUUCCAUCUUUUCUAGAAUGCAGUAGGUAACAGAAGACAACUUUAUAAACAUCACGUGUCCCCAGCUGGUCCUUCACAGAAGAAUUCAGAACAACACCUUGAGGAAAGACAGUAUUAGAUCACAAUCUUGGGAGAAUUCUCUGGCUGCAUGGGUCACUGUGUUUACCAGUUUUUAUAUAGACUGUGCCAGUUAAGUACACCCCAGCUAUCACUCACAAAAUGCCCUAUGCACCAGGAACGUCCCCAGAGGAACAGUUUUUACCAACCUAUUUUACUCAUAGAGAGUCAGCACAAGGGCACAGCAUUGCUUUGUUUAUUGCUUAGGGCAGUAGUUUUCAUGCUGUGGUUAAAAAAAUCCCAACAGUCUGGAAUCUAUGCUGAAGGCACUGCACAAUAGGCAACAAAGGCUAUAGUUCAGCACAUGUUUUAUAUGAUCAUAAACCAGUAAAAAAGCAACACGGCCACUCAUUUCUGUCCCCAAAUUACCUUUUGCACUGCUCUGGCACAAAUGUUUAUGUGGUUACUUGGAAAGCCAGAAUGAGAAGCAGCACUGACUGAUUUGCUUUAGGCAUGUUGCUUUUCAGCCAGAUUGGUGCUCUGGACCAGUUCACUAAGCAGUUAUAAAAACGGACACGCUGACUUAAAUUAUUCAUCAAAUAGCAGAUUAAAAAGAGACAGCUCAGUGUAAGUGGCUUUAAAUUCACUGAGUAGAUCUUGAAUUCACUGCUGGAUCUACAUUCUUUAAACAGAAAAGUGUUGAAGACUGUGUAUAUGCAAACCAUGAUGUGCAGUGUUCUGUAUUCGUAGUCAGUGCUGUUUAGGGGACCUGCUCCCUGUAGGGAACCUAGGAGCCCAGGGCAGGUCCAGCUCAGAAGUAGGUUACAGCCUGACUCGCUAGUUGUCUCUCACUGCCUGUUUCUUAAGAAAAAUCAGUCACCAAAUAGGAGCCAAAGCUGUCUUUAUGUAAGGCCCCCAAGAGAUAUGGAGGCAGGAUCUGAAGCACUGGAACAGUUUGCCCAGAGAGGUGGUGGAUGCUCCAUCCCUGGAGACAUUCAAGUCAGGCUGGAAGAGGUUCUGAGCAACCUGAUGUAGCUGUAAGUUGUCCCUGUUCAUUGCAAGGGAGUUGGACUUUAUGACCUUUGAAGGUCUCUUCCAACUCAAACAAUUCUAUGAUUCCUUGAUGUCUCUUAGUCCCCUUGCUGGAGGGAUAGUCACAGAUGCCUCCUCUUGGGCAUUCACAGGGUUAGUCUUAUCACUGAGGCCUUUCGGUGUUUCCAUGGGACAGUUUUGCCCAUUAACACUGCCACAAGUGCCCUGGGGUUGUGCCCCAAGAAGGAUGUGUACAAGGACAGCCCUGUAUUUGCAGGUCCAGCUGUCACCUCCUCGACAGGCAGGGAGCAAGACUGUAUCUUUUUACUUGGGAGCCAGUCACAAUUGAGUCACUGACAACAUCUUUCACAGUACCUUUGUUCCUUUGAUUUCCAGGAGCAGCCAUUUAAUGGAGUAAGUACCGUCAGAAUGAGAAUGCCUGCUGCCAGAAUUAUUAGUGGAAAUAGCAACCUGUCCCUUCCACUGUUACUUCAUUUCUCUCUCGCUUCCCUGUUGAUUAAAUGCCAGCUCCUUUCUGCGUUCUCUUCCAAAGGAAGCUAAUUCUCCCCUCCAGCUGCAGCAGAACCCUUUGUAGCACAAUGUGAUGCUGCCCAGUGGUCUUACAGCUCCUUCCUCCAUUGCCUCCCCAGCCCUGUAUGUUACAGCCCAGAAAAUCAGUCAGGCAUAUUUUUUUUUAUCUUUUUCUUAUGAUAUAUAUGUAUGUACCACUGUGGGACCCAGAUGGCUAAACAGAUGAGAAAAGUGCAGAAAUGACUGCCUGGAAAAAUUUGGUGUAAUACUGCUUGAAAAGCAAGGGCCAAGCUAAGCAUUAAACAUGACAGAGCAUAUAAAAGCCUGCAGCUUCUUAAGAGUAUAAUUUGUAAAACUGCCAUUUUACUGAAAAUCUUCCGUUUUAUAGUGUACCUCUUUUACUGUAGCUCAGGAAUAGUGACAUUUCCUAAAGCCACAGUUGGUAAAUAUUUUACAGUAAUCAAUUUCACUGAAUUUCACUUCGGGGCUAUGUGAAGCAAGUGGGGCAAGGUCCACAGAGAACUAUAGCAGUUUCCAGAGGCAUGAGAGUGCAAUUCAGUUGCUAGAAUGAUCCCAUAUAUCCUGUUAUAUCACCAUGGUAUGCCAGAGGUACCCAAGUCUUAGAAUCAUAGAACUGUUUGAGUUUGAAGGAACCCUUAGAGGUCAUCUAGUCUAACUCCCCUGCAUCAAGCAGGUUGCUCAGAGCCCUGACCUGCCUGAAAGACGCCUGUGAUUAGGUCAUUGCUUUUACAUACUCUCCCCCUAAAAAAACAUUUUCUUACAUGAGCUAUACAAGAAUACAGUGGCACUUUCAAGUGGAUAUUUGGCUUCAUGACUUAGUCUCCACUGUUUUAGGUAUACUCAUCAUUCAAAACACACACUGCUAUCUCAAGUUACCUCUUGAGAAGAGGAUGCACAUCUCCCAUGUCAUAGCCUACUUUGCAGAGCCCUGCUCCAGUAACUGGGGGACUUGGCUUUCUAACUGUGGCCAACAGCCCCAACUAGUCGGAAUGUUUCUUGUCCCAACGUUUAAGGCAGGAAAACAUCUUUCAGCUCUCCCACUGAAGUCUUAUUAUGUUCCAAAUAGACUCAUUAAUCUGGAAGGAGAGGAGGUGAGGCAUGAGGAAGAGCCUAAAUAACAGAGAAGGCACUCUGUUAGGAGUAUAAAUGGUUUAAUGAGAUAUUACUUACAAUCUCAUUAAAAACAGCAACUGUCUCCACCUGCUUAACAAAUAAACUAAUUCUCUUCAUUUUCUGCAACCCAGUCCCUGCCAGAGAAAACACACACACACACAAAAAAAAAAAAACCACCUUAUUGAAAAGCUGAAAGUAGGAGAAGUGUUAAUAACUGGAAGUGAGACUGUAUAAUUGGAACAUUUUAGAAACACUAAUGAUGGGUUUCAGUAGGCCUAGCACCCACAGAAGAGUGACUACAUCUCAUGCUGGUAAAAUUUCCAUGGAUUUUCCCAGGAGGGCAUUGUAUCUGGCAUUCUACUCCAAUUAUUAUAUGCAAGAUGGUUUCAGAAGAGGAAAUGAAGAAUGGCAUAUUUAAAUGAAACAAUAGGGAUGGAGAUGAAUUUUUACUAAUUAGGCAAGUUUUUAUUUGGUAAGACUUUAGUGUUUGUGUACCUCACAGGAAGAAAUAGGGGAUAUGGUAGAUAGCAUAAUCAUGCCACUUGAACAUUUCUUUUUAACUGUUUCUACAUUUAUAUCUUUGAAACUUGGAAUAUAAUCAGAACAGAAAGAGAGUUACAAGUAUUCAUUGAACUGCUGCAGUGUUUCAGUACAGCAUAUGUAGGGGCACACAGUGGAAUUGAGGAAAUGUCAUGAAAACUGAAAACAGAGAAAGCAGCAUGUGGCAUAUGACACAUGCAGCAGUGAUAAUGCAAAAAGAUCAUAAGGUCCUAUUCACUUCUUCAGUUGUGGACUGGAUUGGAAACUUGACUUCUUGUAAUUAAAUCCAUAAUACGUCAUCAGCAAAAGUGCUGCUUGUUGCUAUUUUGAUCAGCUUUGCUUUGGACACUGCUUAGGACCCUAUUUUUUUGGAUGGGGUGGGGUAAAGGAAGGAGGGAGUGAUUUUGUUUGCAUAAGUAGUUACUGGAAGAACAAAGUUGAUUUGAAAUGAAAUAGUGGAAAACCUAGAAUACAGUGAUAUGAGGGCAAUACAGCACAAACAUCAGGGAAGGAAAUUACACAGUGAUAGGGAUCUGCUUACCAUGAAGUUAGUUCCUCAGUGAAACAAAGAUAAAUCAUUGUUUAGGCGCUGCUUGUUUACACCAUGCUUUGAAAAUAUGUGAUGCAGUCAAUAACGUGACGUUCACUAACUAUUGUAUCCAUUAAUACUUACUGACAUUUUGUUUCAUAUUAAAAAAUAUCUGAUAUUUGGUCCUCAAAUUAGUAUUUUCUUAUUUCUUUGCCUUGAAAUUCUAUGUUCAUCAAUGGUUGAUUUACCAUUGCCUACGAUAGGGCUUAAACCUUUGUAUCUGCUCUUUUCAAAGGCAGAAAGUCUCCCAUAUUCCAUAAGCCAAAUUAGCAUAUUCCACAAUCCCUGAAAGUGAAAGUUCUUCUUCUUUCCAAAGUAAUUAAUCACUUGAGAUUUAAGAGCUGUUGUUCAGCAAGAGUAUAUUUUCUAUAGCAAGACUGUUUGUCAUUAGAAAAACUCAGAAUGACAUUAAAUGUAUCCAUCUCAUAGUGCCUUUUGUAUUUCAAUUUUCUAUUGUACUGUGUUCUAUUCUAUUCUAUUCUAUUCUAUUCUAUUCUAUUCUAAUGUUUCCCUUUUCCCAGACAAUGGGAACUUCAUCAGACUGUCAUGACCUCUCAAAUAUGUUGGAUAAUGGCUUAUCAUGUUCAUCUGCCAGUUCCUUCAGGACCUUUGGAUGCACGGUCAGGUCCCAUGGCAUUACGUACAUUCAGAUUCCUAAGAAGGUCUCAAACCUGAUCUGUUAUCGUACUAUGUAUGUGUAGAGGUAUUUCAUGUGGACCUUCAGCUGUCCAACCUUCCUGACAGAAUCUUUGGAGAGUGUUUUGGGGCAUUUCUCACUACACUGAUGGUUGCACUGUUCCUUCCAGUUGCUUGAGAGCAUAUGAAUGUUAUGGUUUGGGAUCCCACUCCCCAGAUUCACAGUCUAUUAGUUGAAUCUCUUCAGAAAUGCAUAGUCUUCUCACUUUCUCCUGUGCAGUCAGGAGCAGGAUUGAUGACUGCAACCAAAUUUGUCUGUAGUAUUGUGAAGGGCUAAAAUGGAAAUCAAUGAGACUGGCACGACACAGACCAUUUCCAGUGAAUUUUAUAGAAAAUCAUGCAUUAUAGCAGAAAAACAGAAUUAAAUUAGUAGGAUCUAAAGGGAUCAUGAAGAGUAAACUGCCAAGUAUAAGCCUGUAAAAUAGUGUGUGUUGAACCAAGAGUAAAGACCUCACUGAGGUGAAGGGAGUAUAACUUAGGAGGUGAAAGCCAGAUAUGGUGAGCAUCUUCUUAGCAUGAACAUUUGCCCAACAAAAUUCCUAGAGAUUAAUCCUUUCUUUAUUUUUUUUUCCCCAGCUGCUCUGGAGGCUAUGCCUCUAGUCACAA